rnacentral:rRNA from 1 species
UCUUACAAUCAAUAUUUAGCUCGCAGGAACUCUCACAUGGUCGCCCACUGAAGCUAAGCAGGGCUGCGCCUGGUCAGUACCUAGAUGGGAGACCACAUGGGAAAGCUAGGAUGCUGCCGGAA